UACGAAGGGGGCUAGCGUUGUCCGGAUUUACUGGGCGUAAAGCGCACGUAGGCGGCUACUCAAGUCAGAGGUGAAAGCCCGGGGCUCAACCCCGGAAUUGCCUUUGAGACAGGAUUGCUUGAAUCUUGGAGAGGUGAGUGGAAUUCCGAGUGUAGAGGUGAAAUUCGUAGAUAUUCGGAAGAACACCAGUGGCGAAGGCGGCUCACUGGCCAAGUAUUGACGCUGAGGUGCGAAAGCGUGGGGAGCAAACAGG
rnacentral:rRNA from 1 species